AGUGAACGCUGGCGGUAGGCCUAACACAUGCAAGUCGAACGGCAGCACAGUAAGAGCUUGCUCUUACGGGUGGCGAGUGGCGGACGGGUGAGGAAUACAUCGGAAUCUACUUUUUCGUGGGGGAUAACGUAGGGAAACUUACGCUAAUACCGCAUACGACCUACGGGUGAAAGCAGGGGAUCUUCGGACCUUGCGCGAUUGAAUGAGCCGAUGUCGGAUUAGCUAGUUGGCGGGGUAAAGGCCCACCAAGGCGACGAUCCGUAGCUGGUCUGAGAGGAUGAUCGGCCACACUGGAACUUAGACACGGUCCAGACUCCUACGGGAGGCAGCAGGGGGGAAUAGUGGACAAUGGGCGCAAGCCUGAUCCAGCCAUACCGCGUGGGUGAAGAAGGCCUUCGGGUUGUAAAGCCCUUUUGUUGGGAAAGAAAAGCAGCAGGUUAAUACCCCGCUGUUCUGACGGUACCCAAAGAAUAAGCACCGGCUAACUUCGUG
rnacentral:rRNA from 1 species